CGGUCAGGGACCAAGGGGAGCAAGGACAGAGAAGUUUCUAGAACCAAGAGGAACCAUUCAGUCAGAUCACUUUGGAUCUAAUGUUUGUGUAAAGAGCCAUCCCUUCCAUGUUACAGUUUAUUCUAAAUGUUUUUUCACCCCUACCAUCAUCCUCUGUGGCUCGUACCUCAGUGCUUCCCAGACUGCCCACAGUGCAGGGAGGAGAGCCCACUGACUGUAAUGGAAUGCUUCUGGGAGCGUCUCUCAUACCCAGCAUAGACUGCUGUUCUCUGAAGAACAAGUCGAUAUUGUCUACUCCUGUCCAUCCUUCCUACAACUGACAAAGCCUCAGAGUUUGUAAUGACAUGAGCAGGCAAGGCUGUCUUCAAAAGUGUUUGCUUUGUCAGUACAUCAUGUAUCAGAUAAUUUCUUUUUCUUUUUCUUUUUUUUUUUUUUCCCUUUCAGGCCAACUGAAACUGCUGAGUUUGUGAGAAGCAAGCUAUAAAGGAGAUCUGCUUAUUUAUAAAUUGACAAGCUGGUUUUCCAGCUCUGUCAGUGCCAGAUUCUCAUUUGCUGCAGCCUUGGACUGGACUACGCUGGUGAUCACACGUGGAGGAUCAAAAUUCCCCCUCUUCUUAUGAAGACUUGCAACCAUGUCUGAAUGCAGCCACAAGUGUGGAUGGAGGACAACCCAACAGCACAGCCACGCUCCCUUCCUGUGAUGUACAGCUCACACUGAAAUAAAGGACAUCUGAACUUUAAUUGUUCAGUGCCCAGUGGUGAACAGAAAAGCAUGUUUUAAGAAGCCGUAAGGAAAAGGAGAGAGGGAGAGAGAAACUCUGCUGCGCCUGCCGUGUUGCACUAAUGAUUUUAAGAGGCCUUCAAAACUGAAGAAAGCUACAAGCUCACAAAAUUCUCAGUCUGCUGACUUUCAUAUGUGUCAAGAGAAAUGUAUAGCAAAGCAAAAGUGACCUAAGUUAAGCCACUGUGGAGAAAGCACAAGAGACGUAAUGACUGAGGGCCAUACUAAAUAGGUGGAAACCAGGACCGAGUAAAGACAUUGCUGCUGCUGCUUUGCCUAUACUGAGGCGAAGAAAAGGGCUAUGUGUGGUCUGCAGAACAUGGGGAAGCGACCUGCUGCAUAAAUACUGCAGGGGAGGCAAAUAAGGGAUGUCCAGCAGCAUCAACAAUCCUGACAGCAAAGCUGAAGGAACUAAGCUGCAGUAACAGAGAAAUGACGCAUUUGUGCUGGAAAGAGGCCCAUCAAUAGGCUGUAUGUCAUUUUUAAGCCAUUCAUCUAUAGAUAUGGCAAAGAUUGUUGCAAGAUGAUUUCUUUGCUGUCUGUGUACAUAGCUUCAUGAGACAGAAUUCAGAGGACUGGGAUGGAAAGACAGACUUAUUUGAAUCAGAAAUAUGGUUUUAAAAAAUGUUCAUAAUUUAAGAUAUCCAGUUAUUAAGUCUGCAUAUGGCUUCCUCCUCUGACCAGCUGACUGAGCUAAAAAAUACCUCCUGACAAUCAGAAAAUAGAAAGCAGCCUAGGAAGAUACUGGUAUGAUUAGAGUGAGGGACGAGGAAUUUGGACUGAGUGCUAGAAGAGAACUUUAUAACCAUUGCAAAUCAGUAGGUUUGGGUAGAUGACAUGGCAGAGGAGAAGUGAUGUGAAAUAUGAUAUAGGGGAUCAUGCAAAAGAGCAGGGAAAGUGAAAAGGCAGAUGUAUAACUGGAUUUUCAUUUUUCCAGUGUUAUUUCUGUGUCAGUUAACUAGGAAGAUGAGGGCUGUCUUGAAUUCCAUACUUCUUCUUUACUUCAAUGGUGUGCUGUUAAUAUACAUCACACAGCAAAACAUAUGCAGAUGCGAGUGCUCUCUAUACCUCAGGCCUCCAAAAAGCUGUAUCAGCACAGCACCAAAUCUGAACUAAUGCACCCUGUCUCUUAGCGGGGACUAAUAGCUCAGGAUUAGCUUCAUGCUAACAGCGUUUGAGCUGCCUGGAAGUGAGUUUUAUCUGCCCACAAUGUACUUUGUAGACCUUUCUUUACUGGGUGUAAUUUGGAAGAAGCAUUAAGAGCUUUCUUAAGACAUUUUGCUUUUCAUUGUUAUAUGUCAAAGUGCUUUGCAAAUGAGGCAAUAUGAAUCACUGUCCACAUUUCAUGGAUUGCAAAACCAGCGAAACCAAAAUACAGUACAUGCCCUUAGUUGCUCAAUGGUCAGGUCUAGAGCAUGGUUCAGAUCUCCAUUACUCCAUCAAUUUAGGCCACACUGUGGCAGUCACAGGAUUGUUCAGAUUCUGUGCUAAUAUUCAG